rnacentral:rRNA from 1 species
UACGGAGGGUGCGAGCGUUGUUCGGAAUCACUGGGCGUAAAGCGCGUGUAGGCGGCCCACUAAGUCUGAUGUGAAAGCCCGGGGCUCACCCCCGGAAGUGCAUUGGAAACUGGUGGACUCGAGUCCCGGAGAGGAGAGUGGAAUUCCUGGUGUAGCGGUGAAAUGCGUAGAUAUCAGGAGGAACACCGGUGGCGAAGGCGGCUCUCUGGACGGUGACUGACGCUGAGACGCGAAAGCGUGGGGAGCAAACAGGAUUAGAUACCCUGGUAGUCCACGCCGUAAACGAUGAGCACUAGGUGUCGCGGGUAUUGACCCCUGCGGUGCCGACGCUAACGCAUUAAGUGCUCCGCCUGGGGAAUACGGCCGCAAGGUUAAA